UCCGCUCGGCUCCUGUGCGGCUGCCGCGGGGCCGGGGCCGGCAGCGAUGUUGGCCGGGCCGGGGCCGGGGCUGCUGGCCUUGGCCUUGGCCUUGUGGCCGGCAGGGCUCUGGGCACAGCUGAGGCUGCAGGAGGCCGGCGGAGGGCAGCGAGCGCCCGGGGACUCCGUCACCCUCUCCUGCCGCGGAUCCGGAUUCGCCUUCAAGGAUCGCUCUAUUUGGUGGUACCGUCAGUCACCCGGAGGCAGCCCGGAGUGGGUGUCCUUGAUCAGCCGCCCCAAAGGCACUACAGUGGACUACGGGGCAGCAGUGAAGGGUCGGGCCGAGGUUUCCCGGGACAAUUCCCGAUCCGAGGCUUAUCUCUCUUUGCGGUCCUUGCAAGCUCAGGACUCUGCCCGGUAUUUCUGUGCCCUCUCACGGGGACAGGAAAUGCAGAUGAGCUUUAACACAAACCUCCCGGGGCCCGGCAGAGCCUGCCUUAGAUGCCGGGAAGGUGAGAGUGGCCAGGGGCCGGGAGCCAGUGGGUCUCAAGGCUGUUUCUGAGAAGUCAGGUGCCAUCGCUGUGCACCACAGGUGUUCCUGGCCUUUACUGCACACCGCAGGGCUUCUGAUUUAUUGCCAAUAUGAUUUAGAGUAGAACUGUGAGCAAUUACAAAUUGCCUUGCUCCCACUUCAUCUCUGUUUGCUGCCAGGCUCAUCCUCAAAGCUGCAUUCCUGAAUUCUCUGCCUCUUCUCUCCAAAAAGAAGGAGACAGCAGGAAAUUAGGUGUGGGAUAAUUUCUUAACAAUGAAUCACUGGUCUUCAUCUAUACUGCUUCUUGUUCCCUUCCUCCCUCAGUCUGCAGUCCAAUGGCUCCAGCAUGGUUCCUUCACUAGAGCUGCUGUCCUUUAGAAUCAACCCUGUCCAGCAUCGGUUCUCCACAGGCUCCACUUCCCCAGUGUCAUGGCCAAACAGUUUGUGAACAUUUCCAAGCACGGAGACCCCAGGAGGUGCCUGAGCAGCCUGUGCCGGUGUUUGGGCACUUGCACACUGCGAAAAACCAUUUCUCUCUGAUGUUCAGUGAGAACCUCUUGUGAUUUUGUGUUUGUGCUCACUGAUCAUUGUCCUGUCAAUGGUCAUGGCUGAGAAGAGCUUGGCCAGGUCCUCGUGUUUCUGUACACUUAUGACAACCCCAACCAGCUUCUGCAUCUCCCUGGUAAACAGGGCCACCUCUGUCAGCCUGUUUAACUUAGAGAGAUGCUCUGCUUCAACAGAUGAAAAACAAAGAAAGCUGAGCCUGCGAGAGAAGACCAAUAAAGAAUAUACUCUCUACUUCUCCAUCAAUAGGCAGGUUUUAGCCAUUUCUAAGAAAAAUUUUCUUUCUCUCAUAGAAUGAUUCCUUGGUAAGGCAAAGGCCAUCACUCCAAAUGUCCUCUUUCCUCUAGUCCAUGGGUUUUAUUUCUGAGUACCACGUAUUACAGAGUGAAAUACUCCUUUGCUCAAUUGGCCAUAGUGGUACUGCAGUGUCCUAUGGCAGCGUAUUGCCAAAACGCAGGCACUCACCGUGGAGAUAGAGGGAGAAAAAGAAAAGGCCUCUGAGCAAGAGUUAAAAGAGCCUCAUGUCUAUAACGCACUUUGCACACAAAGAGAUAAUAAAGCCUCGCACGGCGCUGUCUCACCUCC